GAUACGGGCAUAACUUGAGUUGCUUAGGGGAGACUGGAAAUUCUGGUGUAGCGGUGGAAUGCGCAGAUAUCAGGAGGAACACCGAUGGCGAAGGCAGGUCUCGGGCAGUAACUGACGCUGAGGAGCGAAAGCAUGGGGGAGCGAACAGGAUUAGAUACCCUGUAGUCCAUGCCGUAAACGGUGGGCGCUAGGUGUAGGGGUCUUCCACGACUUCUGUGCCGUGCUAACGCAUUAAGCGCCCCGCCUGGGGAGUACGGCCGCAAGGCUAAAACUCAAAGGAAUGACGGGGGCCCGCACAAGCGGCGGAGCAUGUGGAUUAAUUCGAUGCAACGCGAAGAACCUACCUGGGCUUGACAUACACCGGACCGGUACAGAGAUGUAUCUUCCCUUUGUGGCUGGUGUCAGGUGGUGCAUGGUUGUCGUCAGCUCGUGUCGUGAGAUGUUGGGUUAAGUCCCGCAACGGCGCAACCCUUGUCUUAUGUUGCCAGCACAUCUAUGGUGGGGACUCAUGAGAGACUGCCGGGUUAACUCGGAGGAAGGUGGGGAUGACGUCAAAUCAUCAUGCCCCUUAUGUCCAGGGCUCACACAUGCUACAAUGGUCGGUACAACGCGCUGCGAGCCUGUGAGGGUGAGCGAAUCGCUAAAGCCGGCCUCAGUUCGGAUUGGGGUCUGCAACUCGACCCCAUGAAGUCGGAGUCGCUAUAAUCGCAGAUCAGCAACGCUGCGGUGAAUACGUUCCCGGGCCUUGUACACACCGCCCGU
rnacentral:rRNA from 1 species